ensembl:lncRNA
GAUUUGAUCCCACUGGGACCAUUUAGGGUCAGAUUUGGUCCCACUGGGACCAUUUAGGGUCCGAUUUGGUCCCAUUGGGACCAUUUAGGGUCGGAUUUGCUCCCACUGGGACCAUUUGGGGUCGGAUUUGCUCCCACUGGGACCAUUUAGGGUCGGAUUUGCUCCCACUGGGACCAUUUAGGGUCUAAUUUGCUCCCAUUGGGACCAUUGAUGGUCGGUUUUGGUCCCAUUGGGACCAUUUAGGGUCGGAUUUGGUCCCAUUGGGACCAUUUAGGGGUCGGAUUUGGUCCCAUUGGGACCAUUUAGGGUCGGAUUUGCUCCCACUGGGACCAUUUAGGGGUCGGAUUUGGUCCGAUUGGGACCAUUUAGGGUCUGAUUUGCUCCCACUGGGACCAUUGAUGGUCGGAUUUGGUCCCAUUGGGACCAUUGAUGGUCGGAUUUGGUCCCAUGGGGACCAUUUAGGGUCCGAUUUGGUCCCAUGGGGACCACUGAUGGUCGGAUUUGGUCCCACUGGGACCAUUUAGGGUCAGAUUUGGUCCCAUUGGGACCAUUUAGGGGUUGGAUUUGGUCCCAUUGGGACCAUUUGGGGUCAGAUUUGAUCCCACUGGGACCAUUUAGGGUCCGAUUUGGUCCCA